UUGGUAUCAUAAUAAAAGUUCAGGUAUAAAUUUUUUAAAACAAUAAAAAAAGUUAUCAGCAUCCAUGGCAUCAUGGCGGAAUAACAGGAUUCAUCAGGAACAAUCGGUCAACUUUUUAAGUAAAAAUAUCCAAAAUCCAAUGAAAAAUUAAACUCCAAAAUAUGUAUAAAUCAUUAUUCACGAUCGUUUCGGGUCCCCACCAUAUUACAGACUAGGGGAAGAGCUCUGGUAGCAUGGAUGGAGGCGAUCACAUACGGACACAUAAAAACACAUCAGCUUCCAUUUCUACAUUUUAAUCAGACAAAGAUUGACGCCACAAACAUAAAUACAAGAUACUGGCAAAAGGGGAACAACUCUCUCUUACAAACAGAAACAUAAUCUGACCAUACAUACUGAUAUAUAACAAUACUAUGGAAGAAAAGUACCAUUCAUUCUGUGUGUAUCAUUAAGCCAAAAAAUAAACUUGGGUUAUCUCUCUUUGAAUGAAGACUUGUACAUGCAGUAUCAUAUUUGGGAGAAGGUAACCAAUGAGAAAUUGUUUAGUGUGAAGAGACUGACAAUGGUAAGAAACUAUUGAUUAUAUAGAGAUAAAAUUGAGAAUGGAAAUGGGGAAUGUGUCAAAGAGACAACAACCUGACCGUAGAGCAGACAACAGCUGAAGGCCACCAAUGCAGUGUGAAACUCCCACACCCAGAGGAGUCCUUCAAAUGGCCCCUAAACAAAUAUGUAUAAUAGUUCAGUGAUAAUGGAUGUCAUACUAAACUCUGAAUUAUACACAAGAAACUAAAAUUAAAAAUCAUACAAGACUAACAAAGGCCAGAGGCUCCUGACUUGGGACAGGUGCAAAAAUGUGGCAGGGUUUAACAUGUUUUUUUGAGAUCUCAACCCUUCCCCUAUACCUCUAGCCAAUGUAGAAAAAACAAACACGCAACAAUACGCACAGUGAAACAAACUCAGUUUAAGAGAAGUCCAGGACUGAUGUCAGAAUAGGUAACAAAAGAAACUAAACAAAGUGACAAUAGCAGUUACUGUCAUGUCAGCUCCCAACCUCAAUUAAACUGAUUGAAAGAAUAUGUCUUCAUUAUAUGAAUACUUCCAAGUACUUUCUUUACAAAGCAGUAUCUGGUGUUCAACAAUCUACUGUUUUUGAACCUUCAUGUAUAUAUAUUAAUGACCUGCCAGACUACUUGACUAACAGUUAUCUCAGUCUAUUUGUAGAUGACAGUAUAAUUAACAGGUCAACUAGAUCAAAUAAGUAGAUCUAGAUGCAUCAACUAAUUGGUUUGGUUGACCACUUUUAAUCCAGAUAUAUGUACAGUGCUAAAUGUUACAAAAAAGAAAAGUUAUUUAGUAAUUCUGCAUGCUACAUACACUAUAAUCUCAGUGAUCGGGAAGGACGUGCGCUCUGCGCCUAUAGCGCAUUUCGACCAGAAAUGGUGCAACGAGUGACUUAUGUAAGCGCCCACGUGGCGCAGGAUAUUUUUCACUUCGUUUCGAUACGUUUAGAUAUCGUCAAAUGGAUUUACUCGAUCGUUUGUGUGUACACAAUUGUGUAAUGUUCCUCCAAUGAUAGGAGCACAUAUAUAUUUUUGGGACAUCUCAGGUGUUUUCCUAUGGAAAUAAUAGAACCAUGGGGUGUAACUGAUUACCCAAAACACGUAAUUAACCAUCAUUCAUGAUAUGAUUUUUUACAACUUUAAAUUUGUGAAAUUUGGCUAGUACAGACGAGAUUUGUCUCUAAUUAUUAGCUCACCUGGCCCGAAGGGCCAAGUGAGCUUUUCCCAUCACUUGGUCCAGGCGUCCGUCGUCGUCGUUAACUUUUACAAAAAUUUUCUCCUCUAAAACUACUGGGCCAAAUUUAACCAAACUUGGCCACAAUCAUCAUUGGGGUAUCUAGUUUAAAAAAUGUGUGGCGUGACCCAGCCAACCAACCAAAAUGGCCGCCAUGGCUAAAAAUAGAACAUAGGGGUAAAAUGCAGUUUUUGGCUUAUAACUCAAAAACCAAAGCAUUUAGAGCAAAUCUGACAUGGGGGUAAAAUUGUUUAUCAGGUCAACAUCUAUCUGCCCUGAAAUUUUCAGAUGAAUCGGACAACCUGUUGUUGGGUUGCUGCCCCUGAAUUGGUAAUUUUAUGGAAAUUUUUGCUGUUUUUGGUUAUUAUCUUGAAUAUUAUUAUAGAUAGAGAUAAACUGUAAACAGCAAUAAUGUUCAGCAAAGUAAGAUUUACAAAUAAGUCAACAUGGCCGAAAUGGUCAGUUGACCCCUUUAGGAGUUAUUGCCCUUUAUAGUCAAUUUUUUAACCAUUUUUUCGUAAAUCUUAGUAAUCUUUUACAAAAAUCUUCUCCUCUGAAACUACUGGGCCAAAUUAAUCCAAACUUGGCCACAAUCAUCUUUGGGUUAUGUAGUUUAAAAAAUGUGUCCGGUGACCCGGCCAUCCAACCAAGAUGGCUGCCACGGCCAAAUAUAGAACAUAGGGGGAAAAUGCAGUUUUUGGCUUACAACUCAAAAAUCAAAGCAUUUAGAGCAAAUCUGGUAGUUAAAUUGUUUAUCAUGUCAAGAUCUAUCUGCCCUGAAAUUUUCAGAUGGAUCCGACAACCGGUUGUUGGGUUGCUGCCCCUAAAUUGGUAAUUUUUAGGAAAUUUUGCAGUUUUUUGUUAUUAUCUUGAAUAUUAUUAUAGAUAGAGAUAAACUGUAAACAGCAAUAAUGUACAGCAAAGUAAGACCUAAAAAUAAGUCAACAUGACCAAAAUGGUCAAUUGACCCUCUAAGGAGUUAUUGUCCUUUAUAGUCAAUUUUUAACAAUUUUCAUAAAAUUUUAAAUUUUACUAACAUUUUCCACUGAAACUACUGGGCCAAGAUCAUUAUAGAUAGAGAUAAUUGUAAGCAACAAGAAUGUUCAGUAAAGUAAGAUGUACAAACACAUCACCAUCACCAAAACACAAUUUUGUCAUGAAUCCAUCUGCUACCUUUGUUUAAUAUUCACAUAUACCAAGGUGAGCAACACAGGCUCUUUAGAGCCUCUAGUUAUCUUUUAAGUUAGUUCAACUUGCUAUUAUUUCGAUUGAAAACCCCCAAAGCCUUUUUAUGAAUACAGUUUUUGUCUCCAUUAAAGGCGACUUACUGUCCUUGUCACUUUUGGUCUUUGGCUUGUUUUGACAUUUUGUAAACAUGCCUUAAACGAAUUGUUGUUUUGUUUUAUCAAUUAAUGAUACUCUCUACUAUUAAUGUUGUCAUCGUGAUGAAGUAAUAAUAAUACAAAAAGUGCAGAGGAAAUGCCAGAAACGUCCUCUAAUACGGAACGUCGUGAAUAAGUAUGAUAUCGACGAAGACCCAAAUUUAAUGUAAAAAAACAUGAACAUGAACAAGACAAGUUAUUUUACAUUCUUUGAAAUUGAAAUAACAAAAUCACAGGCACAAUAUCCAUGAUAUUAUUUAGAAUCAUAAAGGUAAGUACCACCCUCUCUUUGCCGAAAAAGUAAAAUCACAAAAAUAAUGAACUCCAAGGAAAAUUCAAAAAGGAAAGUCCCCAAUCAAACGGCAAAAUCAAAAGUUCAAGCACAUCAAAUGAAUGGAUAACAACUGUCAUAUUCCUAACUUGGUACAGGCAUUUUCUUAUGUAGAAAAAUGGUGGAUUGAACCUGGUUUUAAACCUAGCUAAACCUCUCACUUCUAUGACAGUCACAUCAAAUUCCAUUAUAUUGACAACGAUGUGUGAACAAAACAACAAAAACAAUAGGUAAAAAUGUCACAAAUAGGGGUAUAUACACUUUUUAUUUUUUCCACUGUAGUCAAUUCAAAUGGCCCAUUCAUUUGACAACAUCGUCCAUUAUUUUUUAAAAUGGCCCUUUGAAUUUAAUUUUGAGGGGCCCUGGGCCCAUAGAGAAAAAAUCCUUCCAGAUCACUGUAAUCUGUUACCUUUGCUAACUAUUUUGGUACAGUACAGUCAUACCUCAAUUGGGUGAAAUCACUGAGUGUUCUCAAAUGGUACCUGAAAAAUUAAAACCCAGAGUCUGAGACCUCAGGUCCUCAAUCUAAGCCUCACACCAUAUAAAUAAGUAUAAAUAUGUAAGAUAACACCAGGGUUAUUGUAAAAAAUAAAUGUACAGUUGUAAUUAUAGAGUUAAGAUGAUCCAAAAAAGUUCCUGAAACUGAUUUCUUUUUACAGGUACAUUUGUAGUAUGAAGUUAAUUGAUUGUUAGGAAUGAAUUUGCAAGCUAAUAUUAGACAUAAAAAGAUACAUGUGGG
rnacentral:lncRNA from 1 species